rnacentral:rRNA from 1 species
CCGGCGACCGGCGCACGGGUGAGUAACACGUAUGCAACCUGCCCUCUUCAGGGGGACAACCUUCCGAAAGGGAGGCUAAUCCCGCGUAUAUCGGUUUCGGGCAUCCGAGAUCGAGGAAGGAUUCAUCGGAAGAGGAUGGGCAUGCGGCGCAUUAGCUAGACGGCGGGGUAACGGCCCACCGUGGCGACGAUGCGUAGGGGUUCUGAGAGGAAGGUCCCCCACACUGGUACUGAGACACGGACCAGACUCCUACGGAAGGCAGCAG